GGGAAAAGCCCAGGAUAUCCGUUCCUAGAAUGCCGCGCGGUCAGCCGGAACAUCCAGAACUACAUUUCCGUGAAAAUACCGCGACCGCUCGCCGGUUUCAUGAAACCCUAUCUCUUCACUCUUAUCCCAUGCCUGAGACCCUACCCUACACCGAAGGAAAACUGGCCUGUGUGUGCUGAGAUGGGCUGCAGAACAAUGACACCAAACACCAAGCAGACAAAGUCAUUUUUUUGACCCUUAUGAUGUAACACAAACAAGGUCAUUGUUUUGCAUGAGUAAAGACAAAAACAAGGUUGCUCUGCUCCUCUCAAAAUAUCAAACAUCCCCCUCUCACCUGAUACAAGUGACUGUUGCUUGUUUUUUUUGUUUUUGUUUUGUUUUGCUUUGCUUUAACAACACCCAAUCCUGAAUAAACUCAGCUGCAUUGGAACCACUGCAAAAUGAAGUAACUAACACUCAAAUCCUAUAAUUCCUUCCUAACAUCUGUUACUGAAGCACUUUAUCAUUCCUAUCAUCCAGUGUAAUAUGUGCUCUUACUGCAAUGACUACUAAAAUCUAAAUUGUUCAACUGCA